rnacentral:rRNA from 1 species
UACGUAGGCAGCGAGCGUUGUUCGGAAUUACUGGGCGUAAAGAGUGUGUAGGCGGUGCUUUAAGUCUGUCGUGAAAUCUCCCGGCUUAACCGGGAGGCUGCGGCGGAAACUGGUGUGCUAGAGGGUGGGAGAGGUAAGCGGAAUUCCUGGUGUAGCGGUGAAAUGCGUAGAUAUCAGGAGGAACACCUGCGGUGUAGACAGCUUACUGGACCACUUCUGACGCUGAGACACGAAAGCGUGGGUAGCAAACAGG